UGCCAGCCGCCGCGGUAAUACAGAGGUCCCAAGCGUUGUUCGGAUUCACUGGGCGUAAAGGGUGUGUAGGUGGUGGGAAAAGUUUGAUGUGAAAUCUCCGGGCUCAACCCGGAAACUGCAUUGAAUACUAUUCCACUAGAGGAUCGGAGGGGAGACUGGAAUUCUCGGUGUAGCAGUGAAAUGCGUAGAUAUCGAGAGGAACACCAGUGGCGAAGGCGAGUCUCUGGACGAUUCCUGACACUGAGGCACGAAAGCUAGGGGAGCAAACAGGAUUAGAUA
rnacentral:rRNA from 1 species